GGUAAUGGCUCACCAAGACGAUGAUGCAUAGCCGAGUUGAGAGACUGAUCGGCCACAAUGGGACUGAGACACGGCCCAUACUCCUACGGGAGGCAGCAGUAGGGAAUCUUCCACAAUGGGCGAAAGCCUGAUGGAGCAACGCCGCGUGUGUGAUGAAGGGUUUCGGCUCGUAAAACACUGUUGUAAGAGAAGAAUGACAUUGAGAGUAACUGUUCAAUGUGUGACGGUAUCUUACCAGAAAGGAACGGCUAAAUACGUGCCAGCAGCCGCGGUAAUACGUAUGUUCCAAGCGUUAUCCGGAUUUAUUGGGCGUAAAGCGAGCGCAGACGGUUAUUUAAGUCUGAAGUGAAAGCCCUCAGCUCAACUGAGG
rnacentral:rRNA from 1 species